UACGGAGGAUGCGAGCGUUAUCCGGAUUUAUUGGGUUUAAAGGGUGCGUAGGCGGCCGAGUAAGUCAGCGGUGAAAUUUUGCAGCUUAACUGUAACAGUGCCGUUGAUACUGCAUGGCUAGGAUUUGGUUGCUGUGGGUGGAAUGUGUGGUGUAGCGGUGAAAUGCUUAGAUAUCACACAGAAUAUCGAUUGCGAAGGCAGCUCACAAAGCCAAGAUUGACGCUGAGGCACGAAAGCGUGGGUAGCAAACA
rnacentral:rRNA from 1 species